GGUUAAGCGACUAAGCGUACACGGUGGAUGCCCUGGCAGUCAGAGGCGAUGAAGGACGUGCUAAUCUGCGAAAAGCGUCGGUAAGGUGAUAUGAACCGUUAUAACCGGCGAUGUCCGAAUGGGGAAACCCAGUGUGAUUCGUCACACUAUCGUUAACUGAAUACAUAGGUUAACGAGGCGAACCGGGGGAACUGAAACAUCUAAGUACCCCGAGGAAAAGAAAUCAACCGAGAUUCCCCCAGUAGCGGCGAGCGAACGGGGAGCAGCCCAGAGUCUGAAUCAGCUUGUGUGUUAGUGGAACGGUCUGGAAAGUCCGACGGUACAGGGUGAUAGUCCCGUACACCAAAAUGCACAGGUUGUGAACUCGAAGAGUAGGGCGGGACACGUGGUAUCCUGUCUGAAUAUGGGGGGACCAUCCUCCAAGGCUAAAUACUCCUGACUGACCGAUAGUGAACCAGUACCGUGAGGGAAAGGCGAAAAGAACCCCGGCGAGGGGAGUGAAAAAGAACCUGAAACCGUGUACGUACAAGCAGUGGGAGCACCUUCGGGUGUGACUGCGUACCUUUUGUAUAAUGGGUCAGCGACUUAUAUUCUGUAGCAAGGUUAACCGUAUAGGGGAGCCGCAGGGAAACCGAGUCUUAACUGGGCGUUAAGUUGCAGGGUAUAGACCCGAAACCCGGUGAUCUAGCCAUGGGCAGGUUGAAGGUUGGGUAACACUAACUGGAGGACCGAACCGACUAAUGUUGAAAAAUUAGCGGAUGACUUGUGGCUGGGGGUGAAAGGCCAAUCAAACCGGGAGAUAGCUGGUUCUCCCCGAAAGCUAUUUAGGUAGCGCCUCGUGAACUCAUCUUCGGGGGUAGAGCACUGUUUCGGCUAGGGGGUCAUCCCGACUUACCAACCCGAUGCAAACUACGAAUACCGAAGAAUGUUAUCACGGGAGACACACGGCGGGUGCUAACGUCCGUCGUGAAGAGGGAAACAACCCAGACCGCCAGCUAAGGUCCCAAAGUCAUGGUUAAGUGGGAAACGAUGUGGGAAGGCACAGACAGCCAGGAUGUUGGCUUAGAAGCAGCCAUCAUUUAAAGAAAGCGUAAUAGCUCACUGGUCGAGUCGGCCUGCGCGGAAGAUGUAACGGGGCUAAACCAUGCACCGAAGCUGCGGCAGCGACACUAUGUGUUGUUGGGUAGGGGAGCGUUCUGUAAGCCUGCGAAGGUGUGCUGUGAGGCAUGCUGGAGGUAUCAGAAGUGCGAAUGCUGACAUAAGUAACGAUAAAGCGGGUGAAAAGCCCGCUCGCCGGAAGACCAAGGGUUCCUGUCCAACGUUAAUCGGGGCAGGGUGAGUCGACCCCUAAGGCGAGGCCGAAAGGCGUAGUCGAUGGGAAACAGGUUAAUAUUCCUGUACUUGGUGUUACUGCGAAGGGGGGACGGAGAAGGCUAUGUUAGCCGGGCGACGGUUGUCCCGGUUUAAGCAUGUAGGCUGGUUGUCCAGGCAAAUCCGGAUAAUCAAGGCUGAGGUGUGAUGACGAGGUACUACGGUGCUGAAGUAACAAAUGCCCUGCUUCCAGGAAAAGCCUCUAAGCAUCAGGUAACAUUAAAUCGUACCCCAAACCGACACAGGUGGUCAGGUAGAGAAUACCAAGGCGCUUGAGAGAACUCGGGUGAAGGAACUAGGCAAAAUGGUGCCGUAACUUCGGGAGAAGGCACGCUGGUGUGUAGGUGAAGUCCCUGCGGAUGGAGCUGAGACCAGUCGAAGAUACCAGCUGGCUGCAACUGUUUAUUAAAAACACAGCACUGUGCAAACACGAAAGUGGACGUAUACGGUGUGACGCCUGCCCGGUGCCGGAAGGUUAAUUGAUGGGGUUAUCCGUAAGGAGAAGCUCUUGAUCGAAGCCCCGGUAAACGGCGGCCGUAACUAUAACGGUCCUAAGGUAGCGAAAUUCCUUGUCGGGUAAGUUCCGACCUGCACGAAUGGCGUAAUGAUGGCCAGGCUGUCUCCACCCGAGACUCAGUGAAAUUGAACUCGCUGUGAAGAUGCAGUGUACCCGCGGCAAGACGGAAAGACCCCGUGAACCUUUACUAUAGCUUGACACUGAACAUUGAGCCUUGAUGUGUAGGAUAGGUGGGAGGCUUUGAAGCGUGGACGCCAGUCUGCGUGGAGCCAACCUUGAAAUACCACCCUUUAAUGUUUGAUGUUCUAACGUUGGCCCCUUACCGGGGUUGCGGACAGUGUCUGGUGGGUAGUUUGACUGGGGCGGUCUCCUCCCAAAGCGUAACGGAGGAGCACGAAGGUUAGCUAAUCCUGGUCGGACAUCAGGAGGUUAGUGCAAUGGCAUAAGCUAGCUUGACUGCGAGCGUGACGGCGCGAGCAGGUGCGAAAGCAGGUCAUAGUGAUCCGGUGGUUCUGAAUGGAAGGGCCAUCGCUCAACGGAUAAAAGGUACUCCGGGGAUAACAGGCUGAUACCGCCCAAGAGUUCAUAUCGACGGCGGUGUUUGGCACCUCGAUGUCGGCUCAUCACAUCCUGGGGCUGAAGUAGGUCCCAAGGGUAUGGCUGUUCGCCAUUUAAAGUGGUACGCGAGCUGGGUUUAGAACGUCGUGAGACAGUUCGGUCCCUAUCUGCCGUGGGCGCUGGAGAAUUGAGGGGGGCUGCUCCUAGUACGAGAGGACCGGAGUGGACGCAUCACUGGUGUUCGGGUUGUCAUGCCAAUGGCACUGCCCGGUAGCUAAAUGCGGAAGAGAUAAGUGCUGAAAGCAUCUAAGCACGAAACUUGCCCCGAGAUGAGUUCUCCCUGAGACUUUAAGUCUCCUGAAGGAACGUUGAAGACGAUGACGUUGAUAGGCCGGGUGUGUAAGCGCAGCGAUGCGUUGAGCUAACCGGUACUAAUGAACCGUGAGGCUUAACCUU
rnacentral:rRNA from 1 species